rnacentral:rRNA from 1 species
UAUAUUCCUAAACAACCAGUAGGUUGGCUUAGAAGCAGCCAAACCUUUAAAGAGUGCGUAAUAGCUCACUGGUCGAGAGUAUCUGCGCCGAAGAUUUAACGGGGCUAAGACAUAAACCGAAGCUUUGUAAUAUACCGAUAGGUAUGUUGGUAGGAGAGCGUUCUGUAGGCCGUAGAAGGAGAGUUGGAAGUCGAUCUGGAGGUAUCAGAAGUGAGAAUGCUGGAAUGAGUAGCGAGAAAGAAGGUGAGAUUCCUUCUGGCCGGA